GAGCAGAAGCAUGUAUACUGAAAUUGGAAUGAUACAGAGAAGAUUGGCAUGGCCCCUGUGCAAGGACGACACAUUAAGUCAAGUGGUAGUGGCACAUGCAUUU